rnacentral:tRNA from 1 species
GGGGGCGUAGCUCAGCCGGUAGAGCAAGGGACUUUUAAUCCCUAGGUCGUGGGUUCGAGUCCCACCGCCCUCA